rnacentral:rRNA from 1 species
GAUGAACGCUAGCUACAGGCUUAACACAUGCAAGUCGAGGGGAAACGACAUCGAAAGCCUGCUUUUGAUGGGCGUCGACCGGCGCACGGGUGAGUAACGCGUAUCCAACCUGCCCACCACUUGGGGAUAACCUUGCGAAAGUAAGACUAAUACCCAAUGAUAUCUCUAGAAGACAUCUGAAAGAGAUUAAAGAUUUAUCGGUGAUGGAUGGGGAUGCGUCUGAUUAGCUUGUUGGCGGGGUAACGGCCCACCAAGGCAACGAUCAGUAGGGGUUCUGAGAGGAAGGUCCCCCACAUUGGAACUGAGACACGGUCCAAACUCCUACGGGAGGCAGCAGUGAGGAAUAUUGGUCAAUGGACGAGAGUCUGAACCAGCCAAGUAGCGUGCAGGAAGACGGCCCUAUGGGUUGUAAACUGCUUUUAUAAGGGAAUAAAGUGAGUCUCGUGAGACUUUUUGCAUGUACCUUAUGAAUAAGGACCGGCUAAUUCCGUG